GUUGUAUAGUCAAGUAAUUAAGUGCAUGUGGUGGAUGCCUUGGCAGUCAGAGGCGAUGAAAGACGUGAUAGCCUGCGAAAAGCUCCGGGGAGGCGGCAAAUAUCCUUUGAUCCGGAGAUGUCUGAAUGGGGGAACCCACCUACUUUAAGGUAGGUAUUGCAACAUGAAUACAUAGUGUUGCAAGGCGAACGAGGGGAAGUGAAACAUCUCAGUACCCUUAGGAAAAGAAAUCAAUUGAGAUUCCCUCAGUAGCGGCGAGCGAACGGGGAUCAGCCCAUUAAGUUAUGUGUGUUUUAGUGGAACGCUCUGGGAAGUGCGAACGUAGAGGGUGAUAUUCCCGUACACGAAAGGGCACACAUAAUGAUGACGAGUAGGGCGAGGCACGUGAAACCUUGUCUGAAUAUGGGGGGACCAUCCUCCAAGGCUAAAUACUCCUGACUGACCGAUAGUGAACCAGUACCGUGAGGGAAAGGCGAAAAGA
rnacentral:rRNA from 1 species